rnacentral:rRNA from 1 species
AGUUUGAUCAUGGCUCAGGAUGAACGCUGGCGGUAUGCUUAACACAUGCAAGUCGAACGGAAUCCUUAGGGAUUUAGUGGCGGACGGGUGAGUAACGCGUGAGAAUCUGCCUUCAGGUCUGGGACAACCACUGGAAACGGUGGCUAAAACCGGAUGUGCAGCAAUGUGAAAUAUUUAUAGCCUGGAGAUGAGCUCGCGUCUGAUUAGCUAGUAGGUGUGGUAAGAGCGCACCUAGGCGACGAUCAGUAGCUGGUCUGAGAGGAUGAUCAGCCACACUGGGACUGAGACACGGCCCAGACUCCUACGGGAGGCAGCAGUGGGGAAUUUUCCGCAAUGGGCGAAAGCCUGACGGAGCAAUACCGCGUGAGGGAGGAAGGCUCUUGGGUUGUAAACCUCUUUUCUCAAGGAAGAACACAAUGACGGUACUUGAGGAAUAAGCAUCGGCUAACUCCGUGCCAGCAGCCGCGGUAAUACGGAGGAUGCAAGCGUUAUCCGGAAUGAUUGGGCGUAAAGCGUCCGCAGGGUGGCUAUGUAAGUCUGCUGUUAAAUAGUGAGGCUCAACCUCAUAAAGGCAGUGGAAACUACAUGGCUAGAGUGCG